AUGUGGUUCCGACUAUGCUUUUGGAGUGCAACAGCUGAAAAAUUAACAUCUCAGCUCAAGGAAGCUUCCCCCAGGAUUACAUGUCAAGGAUUGGUAUUCAGUUAUUCACAUGCUGGCUUCUUGUACUGUCCCUCGCUGGUGUUGAGAGAAAUUAUGUCAAUGUCGGCGAGUUCGAAGGGCACCGUCACUGCUCCACGACUGCCUGCUUGGGUACUUAUCCCCUGGAGCCUGGACAUGAUGCCAGGGCUGCAGUCGAUCACGUCGUCAAACAGGCCGAUGGCAAGGUCGGCCGACCUGCUGUCAACAUCGCGAAGUACUAGCAGGAUGAGCUCAUGGAGCUGCGCCAGAAGCUCCUGCUGCCGGCUUCCUCAAACCCAGAUUUCCUUCUUAUUUUUCCCAUGUUCGUUUUCAGUUCGGAGCUGCCUCUUGGAGAGUAGCAGAUUGCUGAAAUGA
rnacentral:rRNA from 1 species